rnacentral:rRNA from 1 species
AUGGCUCAAGAUAAUACUAAAUUAUGUGAUUUCUCCAAUACCAAUAACAAUGAUUUUCUUAGCACUCCGAUUGCUCCUCUUACCGAUGCUGAAUCUUGUGAAAUUAAUGUUGCUUUGUUGAAUCUUUCCAUGAAAGAUCAAUUCUCUGGCCUUCCUAGUGAAGAUGCCGCUACUCAUCUAAACAACUUUGUUGAUUUGUGUGAUAUGCAAAAUAAGAAAGACGUGGAUAAUGAUAUUGUUAAAUUGAAGCUAUUUCCGUUUUCACUUAGAGAUCGUGCUAAAACUUGGUUUUUGUCUUUGCCUAAAAAUAGUAUUGAUUCUUGGAAUAAGUGCAAAGAUGCUUUUAUCUCUAAGUAUUUUCCUCCUGCUAAGAUCAUCUCUCUUAGAAACGAUAUUAUGAAUUUUAAGCAACUUGAUCAUGAGCAUGUUGCACAAUCUUGGGAGAGGAUGAAAUUAAUGAUUCGCAAUUGCCCUACACAUGGAUUAAAUUUAUUGAUGAUUACACAAUUUUUUUAUGCCGGAUUGAAUUUUGCUUUUAGAAAUCUUUUAGAUUCGGCCGCGGGAGGCACUUUUAUGGAAAUCACUUUAGGAGAAGCUACUAAACUCCUAGAUAAUAUUAUGGUUAAUUAUUCUCAAUGGCACACCGAAAGAUCUACUAGUAAAAAGGUUCAUGCGAUAGAAGAGAUUAAUGUUUUGAGUGGAAAGAUGGAUGAACUUAUGAAAUUGUUUGCUAAUAAGUGUGCUCCAUUGAUGAGUGCAAGGAAAGAACCGCUAGGAUGCGUGCUAAGAAAGAUUGCUUUGUAA